UGUGUGUGUGUGUGUGUGUGUGUGUGUGUGUGUGUGUGUGUGUGUGUGUGUGUGUGUGUGUGAGUGGUCCAGACAGACGGACACAAACACCUGCACACUCAGGCCCGGCCGCCUCACACGUGUCAUCGCGGGUAACACACCUUCAUUUCCCCGCGCCUGGCUUGGGGCCGCGGCGUGCAGGUAAAAAGACACAGUUCACCUCCUGAUUACUCUGCUCGCCUGCACAGCCUCGCCUAAGCGUUCGUGGCUAGUGGGAAUGUUACCUGUUCCGUCCAGAGGCUGGGUAAUUUGGCGGUUCAGCACGCAGCGUCACGCACACCAAUCACGAACGAGGGUCAACCAGCCAAUUGUGUUCCCGUCCCGCGCUGGAGACACGACACAGGCAGCCCCGGGACACGCGAGCUGCAGGACCAGCCAUCUACAGACACACACACAUACACACGAGGAAAGAUUACGACCAAAGCUGAAAACAAUAUCAAAACUCCGCUACCUACACACUCACACACACACACACACACACACACACACACACACACACACACACACACACACACACACACGCGAACAAGACCAAACCCAAUAUGAAGAUACUUCCAUCCAUGCAAACACAAGGAUAAGGAAAGCCAAGACCAGCCGACAGAUCGCUAUCACCCACAAGUCACCGGUAUCACCACAGCCUCCGGACACCACUAAGUCACCGCGUCCAAGGGUUACAAGAGCCCUAAUCAGCCCUCAUCAUAAGUCUUAUCAGUACCGCUGGAUGUCCUCAGGUAUCCACCACCCUGCGAAGCAUUCAAGCCGCCUCAUCAAAGAGCUUUAGUGCAUAACAACAUAUGUACGAUGACCACUGAUCUAGGGCAACCUAAACCUUAUAAAAUAAAUCACCCACUGAAGCUGCCAGUCUCCGCAAUGAGAAAAAAGAAUUAGAAAAAGGAUCAUCCGAAAUUUGAGAAGUGUCUUGAAACAGGUCAAGCUUAAGGUAAGAGGAAAUACGGAAGCAGGCAAGGAGUUUCAGAGCUUACCAGAAAAAGGAAUGAAAGAUUGAGAAUAUUUUACCUCAAAACACCCUGCCUUUAUAUGCUCAAAUAAAAAAAAAAAAAACUGAUAUGUAAAUCCUAACAAAUAUCACAGAAAGCGUUUCGGAUCCUGCACAAUCCCUUUGAAACUUAAGCACCCUGUUCUUUGAUGCACAAGGGAAUAAUAGUACAUAGAUGCUACCAAAAACUACCAAGAACAUAUCGGAUCUUGUAUAAUCCCUUUCAAGCUUUCCAUUAGCCCUAAAAUAUCAGAACAACAAUGGUAUAUAAAUGCUAACAAGCUAACAAAUACUACCGAAAGCGUUUCAAAUCUUAUAUAACCCCUGAAAAACUUCCCUGAACCCUUAGACGCCCUUUAAGGAAUGUCAACACCCAGUCAGGAGCCAGGAGAACCCUUGGAGCGUCCCCUUGGAGCGUCCCCUGGUGGGCCUUUCCUUCUGGCAACGAAAACAGAGAUGAAAGGAUCGGCGAUGCGUCUCGAUAGAAGCGUCUGAUUGGAUCUGUGGAAUGCAUAAUCCAAUCAAUAAGCGAAAUUAUGCGAGGCGACGUGACUCAGCAGUGACCGUAUCAGGACGGCUGGAUUUCUUCUGGAGUGUGGCGAUGUAGUGUGGUAUAGUGUGGUGUGGUGUGGUGUGGUGUGGAGUGGAGUGGAGUCGUAUGGAGUGGAGUGGAGUCAUAUGGAGUGGAGUGGAGUCGUGUGGUGUGGUGUGGUGUGGUAGUGAGAUGAACACAGCGGAACGGCGCCCUGA